UACAGGGGGUGCAAACGUUGCUCGGAAUCAUUGGGCGUAAAGCGCACGUAGGCGGUCUGUUAUGUCGGAUGUGAAAGCCCUCGGCUUAACUGAGGAAGUGCAUCCGAAACUGGCAGGCUAGAGUACCAAAGAGGGUCGCGGAAUUCCCGGUGUAGAGGUGAAAUUCGUAGAUAUCGGGAGGAACACCGGUGGCGAAAGCGGCUCACUGGACCACAACUGACGCUGAGGCGCGAAAGCUAGGGGAGCAAACAGG
rnacentral:rRNA from 1 species